GAUGAACGCUGGCGGCGUGCCUAAUACAUGCAAGUCGAGCGAACGGACGAGAAGCUUGCUUCUCUGAUGUUAGCGGCGGACGGGUGAGUAACACGUGGAUAACCUACCUAUAAGACUGGGAUAACUUCGGGAAACCGUAGCUAAUACCGGAUAAUAUUUUGAACCGCAUGGUUCAAAAGUGAAAGACGGUCUUGCCGUCACUUAUAGAUGGAUCCGCGCUGCAUUAGCUAGUUGGUAAGGUAACGGCUUACCAAGGCAACGAUGCAUAGCCGACCUGAGAGGGUGAUAGGCCACACUGGAACUGAGACACGGUCCAGACUCCUACGGGAGGCAGCAGUAGGGAAUCUUCCGCAAUGGGAGAAAGCCUGACGGAGCAACGCCGCGUGAGUGAUGAAGGUCUUCGGAUCGUAAAACUCUGUUAUUAGGGAAGAACAUAUGUGUAAGUAACUGUGCACAUCUUGACGGUUCCUAAUCAGAAAGCCACGGCUAACUACGUG
rnacentral:rRNA from 1 species